GAGUAAAUGCGCUCUAGAUAUAGGGCUAUCCUAUAAAAGAAAGCAAUCACGAUGUAUGUUGCUAGACGCCGAGAUAGGAGCGAGAAGAAUAAGUUUGUGUUUGAUGUCAUGGAGGGGAAAACUAUUCUUCUUUGCUUUAUGGUGAUUGUUUUAAUAGCAAAUUUCACUCUUACUGGUACAAAAUUGGUGCUCUCCUAUACAUAUCUAUAUGUUUCCUUUCUCCUGCCAAUGUGAGUAGAAUAGCAUUGUCAAGUGAACUGCAUGAAUUUCUUUGGAACUUUCUUAAUUUAGAAUUGUUUAAUUGUUGUAUGUUCUUGUCUACAGAGAGUUGUAAAGGGUACAUGGGUUUUGUCCCAGUAUGUGGAGAACCAGAACGUCGGGAGAUCUGUCGGUUCGACUGGGGAGAACGUGUCAAGAAAGCUUAUUGUAUGAAUGUCAAGGAGUGUUACUGUCUAGUCUGUGAUUAGAGUUGCACUUUGCCAUCUCGUAUGUAAAACAAUGGGCAAUGAUGUAAUCCUGUAAUAAAUUCUUCUUGUAACAUGCAUGUGACAGUGUACGUUGAUCGUCAUUUUUUUUCAGAAAC
rnacentral:lncRNA from 1 species